rnacentral:rRNA from 1 species
GAUGAACGCUGGCGGCGUGCCUAACACAUGCAAGUCGAGCGAAGCGGUUUUAAGGAAGUUUUCGGAUGGAAUUAAAACUGACUGAGCGGCGGACGGGUGAGUAACGCGUGGGUAACCUGCCUCAUACAGGGGGAUAACAGUUAGAAAUGGCUGCUAAUACCGCAUAAGCACACAGCUUCGCAUGGAGCAGUGUGAAAAACUCUGGUGGUAUGAGAUGGACCCGCGUCUGAUUAGCUAGUUGGUAAGGUAACGGCUUACCAAGGCGACGAUCAGUAGCCGACCUGAGAGGGUGACCGGCCACAUUGGGACUGAGACACGGCCCAAACUCCUACGGGAGGCAGCAGUGGGGAAUAUUGCACAAUGGGGGAAACCCUGAUGCAGCGACGCCGCGUGAGUGAAGAAGUAUCUCGGUAUGUAAAGCUCUAUCAGCAGGGAAGAAAAUGACGGUACCUGACUAAGAAG